UAAUGGUGCCAAAGUCGACGCCCCUCAGACCCCACAAAGGUGUAAGUUUCUCUAGACUGCAAGACGAUGAACAUGGAAGUAGGAAUCCGCUAAGGAAUGUGUAACAACUCAACUGGCGAUGAAGCAACUAGCCCUGAAAAUAGAUGGCGCUCAAGCAUCGCACCUAUAC
rfam:Nematostella vectensis strain CH2 x CH6 NEMVEscaffold_218_Cont19354, whole genome shotgun sequence.